UUUAGGUAGCGCCUCAUGUAUCACUCUGGGGGGUAGAGCACUGUUUCGGCUAGGGGGUCAUCCCGACUUACCAAACCGAUGCAAACUCCGAAUACCCAGAAGUGCCGAGCAUGGGAGACACACGGCGGGUGCUAACGUCCGUCGUGAAAAGGGAAACAACCCAGACCGCCAGCUAAGGUCCCAAAGUUGUGGUUAAGUGGUAAACGAUGUGGGAAGGCUUAGACAGCUAGGAGGUUGGCUUAGAAGCAGCCAUCCUUUAAAGAAAGCGUAAUAGCUCACUAGUCGAGUCGGCCUGCGCGGAAGAUGUAACGGGGCUCAAACCACACACCGAAGCUGCGGGUGUCACGAAGUGACGCGGUAGAGGAGCGUUCUGUAAGCCUGUGAAGGUGAGUUGAGAAGCUUGCUGGAGGUAUCAGAAGUGCGAAUGCUGACAUGAGUAACGACAAUGGGUGUGAAAAACACCCACGCCGAAAGACCAAGGGUUCCUGCGCAACGUUAAUCGACGCAGGGUUAGUCGGUUCCUAAGGCGAGGCUGAAAAGCGUAGUCGAUGGGAAACAGGUUAAUAUUCCUGUACUUCUGGUUACUGCGAUGGAGGGACGGAGAAGGCUAGGCCAGCUUGGCGUUGGUUGUCCAAGUUUAAGGUGGUAGGCUGAAAUCUUAGGUAAAUCCGGGGUUUCAAGGCCGAGAGCUGAUGACGAGUCGUCUUUUAGAUGACGAAGUGGUUGAUGCCAUGCUUCCAAGAAAAGCUUCUAAGCUUCAGGUAACCAGGAACCGUACCCCAAACCGACACAGGUGGUCGGGUAGAGAAUACCAAGGCGCUUGAGAGAACUCGGGUGAAGGAACUAGGCAAAAUGGCACCGUAACUUCGGGAGAAGGUGCGCCGGCUAGGGUGAAGGAUUUACUCCGUAAGCUCUGGCUGGUCGAAGAUACCAGGCCGCUGCGA
rnacentral:rRNA from 1 species